rnacentral:rRNA from 1 species
GAGCGAGAAAAGGGGGGCAACUCCCUGAGUAAAGCGGCGCACGGGUGAGUAACACGUGGGUAAUCUGCCCUGGAGUGGGGAAUAACACCGGGAAACCGGUGCUAAUACCGCAUACGAUCACGGAGUCUGCGGAUUUUGUGAUGAAAGGAGCAAUUCGCUUUAGGAGGAGCCCGCGGCUGAUUAGCUAGUUGGUGAGGUAAUGGCUCACCAAGGCUACGAUCAGUAUCCGGUCUGAGAGGACGGUCGGACACACUGGAACUGAAACACGGUCCAGACUCCUACGGGAGGCAGCAGUGGGGAAUUUUGCGCAAUGGGGGAAACCCUGACGCAGCAACGCCGCGUGGAGGAUGAAGCCCUUUGGGGCGUAAACUCCUUUCGACCAAGACGAUAAUGACGGUACUGGUGGAAGAAGCACCGGCUAACUCUGUG